rnacentral:lncRNA from 1 species
GCUAGUUUUAAGGUUCAACAAAACCAACGUCUCGUAAAGGUAAUUUCAGUAAACCUACUCCUCUAGCUCGCUCGCUCGCUCUCUUCACUCCUUUGGCAAUUUGCAAACUAACUUUAUUCAUAUUUUCUGUGCCACUUCACUUGGUUUCUGAUUUCAGAUGCUCCCUACCUUCUCUUUCUAGGGUUUCAGUUCUGCAGGUGGAUAUUCUCAUUUCUUCCCUGAAUUAGUAAAUGUGAUACCGUUGAAGAUUUUUAUUUUAUGCCAAAAAUUAAUGAUUCUUCUAACUGUUAUUUCCAUAUUUUUUGGGGUUGCUAUGUUUCUUUGUUCCUUAUUUUUAUCAAAGACCAAUGUUCUUUCUCAUCCCUCGAUCUCUAUAUAUUUCUUAUUGUUCUAACGACAUAUAAUAUUUGUUUGGAGUGAGUGUACAGUGAAAAUGGCGAGAAAGAAGAUUCAGAUCAAGAAGAUUGAUAACUUGACGGCACACCAACUCCAAGUGACAUUAUUGAAGAGAAGAGGGGUUUUCAAGAAGACUCAAGAACCCUCUACUCUUUGUGAUGCUGAGAUUGCCCUAAUUAUUUUUUCUGCACUAGAAAAGUCUUCCAUUGUUCUUGCUCAAGGUUUUCUAAUUUCCUCUCCUCUCUCUUGAACACAUACAUAUCAUGCUACUGGGGUCGAAGCUUUGAUGCUUUUGGCUACUGAGUUUUAAUCACUUAGCUAGUUUUGUAUUGAAAACUAAAGAUUUUAAUGGGAUAAAACCACAGAAAACUUAUAUUGAAAAGGUACGAAUUAAAUGGGCAGUAAUGGAAAUUACGAGGUAGAGAAUUGUAGCUCGGAUAUGGAUGCAAAUAAUCUUCAAGUGUGAUAAAGAAUUGAACAAUACUAGGGGCAAAUGGUGUUUGUAAACUAGCUUUUGGUGAUGAUGUGAAUACUAGGAUGGCAGAAAAAAAUUAAAAGUAUUCUAGUAUAACGUGGUGUUUUCAACAAAUAUUUUGAUCAUUAAUUAUUAUGAGUCACAUGGAUAAACUCCAACACAAAAUUAGCACAAAUCACGUUCAUUGCACAAAAUAAAGCAAACUUUCUCCAUGUACAGUUUAAUUUCCUUAGAUGAUUUACUUACCAUGUAUAACUCAAGUUUCAAUGUUCAAAUAUGUAAGAAAUCCGUGUAAAUCAUACACUAGUGAAUAAUGAAAUACUGCAUUCCCUGUGCAUUUCUUUGUAUCAAUUUUAAUAUGGCAUAGUAAUACAUGUUCACUGCGGCCUGUUCUAGCUUCCGUAAAACCAAACCCGACCUCCACCGUGUCUGAUUCCACAUCUUCCACACCUUCACAAUUGAUCAAUGACCUUCCCUCCCCAUAUUUCUUAACCCCUUCUGAUAAUCUGGUGCUGUGCUAGUUCCCGAUCUCCUUACUGGACAACUAUGCUGCCUGGAAACACUCAGAUUGCUACCCUCUGGGAUCGUUGCAGUGAUAUGGUCAUCUCUUAGCUCUUCAACUCCAUUGAUAAGCCCUUAUGACAUUGCUUAAUUUACUGUUCUCAACCCUAUGAUGUUUGGCUCAAUUUGAACAAUCGAUUUUCUCAAAGCUAUCACCCGCAUCUUUAUUGCUUCCAACGUGAUUUGGUUAAUCUCAAAUAGAACACCAUGUCUAUUACACUGUAUUACAAUACUAUCAAAGGAUCAUGGGAUGAACUCCCCCUGCUCACCAAUCCUAGAUCCUGUAAAUAUGGUGCUCAUAAAAAGGCAGAAGAGACAAUCAACUCCGAAAUGCUCUUUCAACUUCUCAUGGACCUUAAUGAGUCCUUCUUCAACAUCCGAUGCCAAAUCCUCUCUAUGGAUCCUCUUCCCAUUAGUGCCAGAUCUUUUGCCACUAUACAUCAAGAAGAAACGUAACGCCUCCCGCAAAUGCCUUCACUGCCCACUCUCGACAUUUGUCAUGGAUAUUGCUAGUGCUCAUUCUCCGACCACUCAUGGCUUCCGUCUUUGCAAUUGUAAGAAGUGCACCAAAUGCAGAAAAGACGGUCAUUAGGAAUCCGCUUUCUUCAAAAUCAUUGGCUGUCUUGCUCAAUAGAACACCAAUAAAUCCAAUUAGCCUCUACACUUACAUAUCUCGGCCAGUACCCAGUCACCCGCAGCGAAUAUGGUAUCUGCCACUCAAGCUUCUCCCAUCUCGACUGUAAUCCCUGGCAUCUCUAAUGAGCGCUGCUAACAAUUGAUGGAACUCCAUGCCAACGCCUUCUCCACUUUCUUUGGUAUUCACUUCUGUGUCUCAUUCUGAUGUACAGCAGAGGGUCCAGUAUCCAGCCGGCACGGCCGCUUGGGCUGACUCUAUCAGGAUUUACAGGUUAGUAAACCGCUCGUCGCUCGAGCCGCCGGUGAGCGAUUUGCCCAAUUUUAUUUAUUUAUUUUUUUUUUAAAUAAUGGGCCUUUAGUUUUAGGCCAUUUUUUUUAGGAUUUUAAACAUUUGUCUGGUCUGUUUGACUAUACGUAUAAAACUGUUACCCCAAUUGAAUUCCAAAUGCAAAAUACGGCAAUUGCAAACAAACCCUAUCUCUUGUAUCUCCUCCCUACAGUCCCGCCUUAGCCAACUGUGGUCCAACCGUGAUUGUCAACCUUUAGUGACUGUGAGCCUCCGUCGAACCCUCCGUUGAACCGCCACUGUUUGCCGCUGGCGUCUGUGACACGGUGACUGUGAGUCUGUGAGCUCUCUUAUAUAUGAACUGUAAUGAAUGAUGAUUUAUAAUUUAUGAACAUUGGAGAAUUUGUGAAUUUGUGAUAAAUGAUAAUUUGGUGUUGAAAAUUGG